rnacentral:lncRNA from 1 species
GUUUUUGUUUUUACUGUUUUAGAAGUAUAUGUUUAACUUCAUUCUCCUACAAAUAUGAACCCAGUGUUCUUUGUCCCCAUAAUGAUUGUGUAAAUUUGGGUUCUUUUUCUUUAGACAUUUUUUUUUCAAAUCUUAAUGGCUUAUCUGUUAGUUUUAUAUUUAAGAUCGGUUCUGUUCCCAGGGUGUUGGAGAAAUGAUGCCUCAGAUUUCAGGAUUUUUUGUGUUUGUUAUUUCCUGAACUCUACUUAGUUCUUUCAAUUUCUAUAAUCCAGGGACAGAGGAAGUCCCUGCUACCCCAGGCUUAAAUGUUGUCUGCACCUGACCUCAGUUGCUUCCACUAGAGCCUGCUACCACCAGUAGUUCUGCCACUUCAAGCACACAGCAUGCCUUCCCUUGGGUUGACAGUCAGAGAUUUAACCUUCCUGUGAGUGACCAUAGAUAGCAGGACCCCAGCCCCAUAGCUACUGCACAGUCUGGUGUGUGUUUCAUCUUUGCUCUUGAUCUAUUGAAUCCAUAGCUUGGGACAGUGCCUGUGUCUAGUCAGUAUGCCUGGGCCCAUGAAGUUCUUUCCGGUUUGCUGACUCCACCAAUAUCCCUCCGCAGGAUACAGACUCUAAAGUUAAACAGACAAGACUUGAAAGGAAGAAGAGCUCCAGUCAACAGCAUGAUUCAUCUCUUCAUUCUACAGCACCGAACAUUCUUGGGAGAUCUCCCACAUAAGCCGUGGUGUGAUCCAAUCUUGUAG